UACGGGGAGGGCGUGUGUUAUUCAGCGUUACUGGGCGUAAAGGGCAUCUAGGCGGUUUAAUAAGUCUUUAUAAAAGCUUAUGGCUUAACCGUAAAAGAUAUAAAGAAUACUGUUGAACUUGAGUAUAGGGGAAGAUAGCGAAUACUUUUAAAGGAGAGGUAGAAUGCUGCGAUAAUAAAAGGGUCAUCAACUAGCGAAGGCGGUCUAUCUAUUUUAUUACUGACGCUGACGUGCGAAAGCGUGGGUAGCAAACAGG
rnacentral:rRNA from 1 species